rnacentral:rRNA from 1 species
CGUUUGAUGAAUUCAUAGUCAAACGAGGCGAACCGGGGAAACUGAAACAUCUCAGUACCCCGAGAAAAAGAAAUCAACCGAGAUUCCCCCAGUAGCGGCGAGCGAACGGGGAGCAGCCCAGAGUCAACAUCAAUAUUUACCACAGGAGAAGGGUCUGGAAAAGCCGGCAAUAAAGGGUGAUAGCCCCGUAUCUAAAGCGGUAAGUGUUGUGAACUCGAAGAGUAGGGCGGGACACGUGUUAUCCUGUCUGAAUAUGGGGGGACCAUCCUCCAAGGCUAAAUACUCCUGACUGACCGAUAGUGAACCAGUACCGUGAGGGAAAGGCGAAAAGAACCCCGGCGAGGGGAGUGAAAUAGAACCUAAAACCGUGUACGUACAAGCAGUAGGAGCACCCGAAAGGGUGUGACUGCGUACCUUUUGUAUAAUGAGUCAGCGACUUAUAUUCUGUAGCAAGGUUAACCGCAUAGGGGAGCCGUAGGGAAACCGAGUCUUAACUGGGCGUUAAGUUGCAGGGUAUAGACCCGAAACCCGGUGAUCAAGCCAUAAGCAGGUUGAAGGUUGGGUAACACUAACUGGGAGGAC